AACGAACGCUGGCGGCAGGCCUAACACAUGCAAGUCGAGCGAGGUAGCAAAACCUAGCGGCGGACGGGUGAGUAACGCGUGGGAACGUACCCUUUGCUACGGAAUAGCCCCGGGAAACUGGGAGUAAUACCGUAUGUGCCCUUCGGGGAAGGAUUUAUCGGCAAAGGAUCGGCCCGCGUUGGAUUAGGUAGUUGGUGGGGUAAGUGGCCUACCAAGCCGACGAUCCAUAGCUGGUUUGAGAGGAUGAUCAGCCACACUGGGACUGAGACACGGCCCAGACUCCUACGGGAGGCAGCAGUGGGGGAAUCUUAGACAAUGGGCGCAAGCCUGAUCUAGCCAUGCCGCGUGAGUGAUGAAGGCCUUAGGGUUGUAAAGCUCUUUCAGAUGGGAAGAUAAUGACGGUACCAUCAGAAGAAGCCCCGGCUAACUCCGUG
rnacentral:rRNA from 1 species